rnacentral:rRNA from 1 species
CUACGGGUGGCAGCAGUGGGGAAUAUUGGACAAUGGGCGAAAGCCUGAUCCAGCCAUGCCGCGUGUGUGAAGAAGGCCUUCGGGUUGUAAAGCACUUUCAGUGGGGAAGAAAGCCUUGGGGCUAAUACCCUCGAGGAAGGACAUCACCCACAGAAGAAGCACCGGCUAACUCCGUGCCAGCAGCCGCGGUAAUACGGAGGGUGCGAGCGUUAAUCGGAAUUACUGGGCGUAAAGCGCGCGUAGGCGGUCUGAUAAGCCGGUUGUGAAAGCCCCGGGCUCAACCUGGGAACGGCAUCCGGAACUGUCAGGCUAGAGUGCAGGAGAGGAAGGUAGAAUUCCCGGUGUAGCAGUGAAAUGCGUAGAGAUCGGGAGGAAUACCAGUGGCGAAGGCGGCCUUCUGGACUGACACUGACGCUGAGGUGCGAAAGCGUGGGUAGCAAACAGGAUUAGAUACCCCUGUAGUC